rnacentral:rRNA from 1 species
GGGUCAGUAGGUUGGUCGUGCCACCGGUACGUACUGGUCUCACUGAUUCCUCUUUCCUGAAGAACCGUAAUGCCAUUAAUUUGGUGUUGCGGGGAAACAGGACCGUUACUUUGAAAAAAUUAGAGCGUUUAAAGCAAGCUAACGCUUGAAUACAUUAGCAUGGAAUAAUGAAAUAGGACGAUCGAUCCUAUUUUGUUGGUUUCUAGGAUUGACGUA